AUCCAGCUAACGAGUCCCAAAUAGGAUGAAACGCGCUUCCUGGAU
rnacentral:hammerhead_ribozyme from 1 species